rnacentral:misc_RNA from 1 species
UUUCCGUAGGUGAACCUGCGGAAGGAUCAUUAUUGUAUAACCAACGUCCGAGCGCUGGCGCUGACACGAAUGGGCGGGCACGCCCGAAUACCCUGACACACAUCCAUCGCACCCCCACGUGCGACACCCCGAGAGUCUCCCUUUGGCUUAUUCGGUGAGGGGCAUACGCAUUCACACAAACUUUUUAUACAACGGAGAAUGUAUUUUUUGUUUUUGUGAACACGGAAUCAAAACAACUUUCAACAACUGAUCUCUCGCGUCACGCAACGAUGAAGAACC